UUGAGGCUAAUAUAAAGGACCAUGGGCAGAAAUGUCCCCACCCACCAACAGAAAUGAAACAUGUCUCAUUUAAUAGAUCUUAGCACCCUGAUGAUUUUUUACUAUGACGAGGAUCGCCAUAUGUAUGGGGUUUUCUUGGAAAACCGUGUUUUGUUUUUACAUAUUUUUUGCUCAUUUCAUUGAAAGGCGAUUCUCGUCAUAGUAAAAAAUCAUCAGUUUGCCAAGAUCUAUUAAAUGAGACAUGUUUCAUUUCUGUUGGUGGGUGGGGACAGUGCCCAUACAAAUUUGCCCAUGGUCCUUUAUUG